AUUGAACGCUGGCGGCAGGCCUAACACAUGCAAGUCGAGCGGAUGAAGGGAGCUUGCUCCUGGAUUCAGCGGCGGACGGGUGAGUAAUGCCUAGGAAUCUGCCUGGUAGUGGGGGAUAACGUCCGGAAACGGGCGCUAAUACCGCAUACGUCCUGAGGGAGAAAGUGGGGGAUCUUCGGACCUCACGCUAUCAGAUGAGCCUAGGUCGGAUUAGCUAGUUGGUGGGGUAAAGGCCUACCAAAGCGACGAUCCGUAACUGGUCUGAGAGGAUGACCAGUCACACUGGAACUGAGACACGGUCCAGACUCCUACGGGAGGCAGCAGUGGGGAAUAUUGGACAAUGGGCGAAAGCCUGAUCCAGCCAUGCCGCGUGUGUGAAGAAGGUCUUCGGAUUGUAAAGCACUUUAAGUUGGGAGGAAGGGCAGUAAGUUAAUACCUUGCUGUUUUGACGUUACCAACAGAAUAAGCACCGGCUAACUUCGUG
rnacentral:rRNA from 1 species